rnacentral:rRNA from 1 species
GUGGGGAAUCUUCCGCAAUGGACGAAAGUCUGACGGAGCAACGCCGCGUGAGUGAAGAAGGUUUUCGGAUCGUAAAGCUCUUUCGUUAGGGACGAACGUGCUCUUUGUGAAUAAUGAGGAGUAAUGACGGUACCUAAAUAAGAAGCCACGGCUAACUACGUGCCAGCAGCCGCGGUAAUACGUAGGUGGCAAGCGUUGUCCGGAAUUAUUGGGCGUAAAGCGCGCGCAGGCGGGAUAUCAAGUCUGUCUUAAAAGUGCGAGUGUCAACCUCGUGAGGGGACAGAAACUGGUAUUCUUGAGUGUCGUAGAGGAAAGUGGAAUUCCAAGUGUAGCGGUGUAAUGCGUAGAGAUUUGGAAGGACACCAGUGGCGAAGGCGACUUUCUGGACGAUGUCUGACGCUGAGGCGCGAAAGCUAGGGGAGCGAACGGGAUUAGAUACCCGGGUAGUCC